rnacentral:rRNA from 1 species
UGCCAGCAGCCGCGGUAAGACGAACCGUGCGAACGUUGUUCGGAAUCACUGGGCUUAAAGGGCGCGUAGGCGGUCGGGCAAGUCCGGGGUGAAAUCCUGCAGCUUAACUGUAGAAGUGCCUUGGAUACUGCUCGGCUCGAGGGAGGUAGGGGUCUGUGGAACUUCUGGUGGAGCGGUGAAAUGCGUUGAUAUCAGAAGGAACGCCGGUGGCGAAAGCGGCAGACUGGACCUCUUCUAACGCUGAGGCGCGAAAGCUAGGGGAGCAAACGGGAUUAGAUACCCCGGUAGUCCUAGCCCUAAACGAUGAGCACUAGAUUGCAGACUAGUCAUGGGUUUGCAGUCGAAGCAAAAGUGUUAAGUGCUCCGCCUGGGGAGUAUGGUCGCAAGGCUAAACUCAAAGGAAUACGGG